rnacentral:misc_RNA from 1 species
CACCAUUCAAGCCUUUUUGUUUUUGUUAACAAUAGUGGCUUGGUUUUGGAAGUAGAUGAGAUUGUAAGAUCGAAUCUCUUUUGUAAUGUAUUGACGAGUAUCUAUUGUCUUAGUUGUCGCAAAAUAUUGUAAACUUCAAGAUAGCAGAUAAAGUCGAGUCACCUUUUCGUUUGAGUUUUCUUUGGAAGACUCUAUCAAAA